CCUUUGGUGCACUUUGUGUCUUAAAGCAUCUACUUCCUAGGUUGUCUGAAGCUUGACAUAGUAAAAGGCCUUCACUUGUUGAAGCUGUAAGGUUGUUGCUAGAUGAACAAAAUUUGGCUGUCCGUAAAGCUCUUUUAGAGUUGAUUGUUGUCAUGGCUUCUCAUUGUUACUUGGUCGGUCCAUUCAGGGAGUUGUUUGUUGAAUAUCUUGUGCGC